ensembl:lncRNA
GGGUGAAUGGGCACGCGGCGGCGGGUCCCUGCUCGCUGACUGCCUGUGUGCGCCCAGCUACUCAAACUGCAACAAAGAAACCACCGCGGUAGUCAUUCCGCUACGUUCUUUAGACUUGUGUGUCAUUUUUUUUAAAUAGACAUGUUUUAACACUGUACCGAUGACAUUGUCGCCAUUGGAACCGAAACCACGUUUUUUUUUGCCAAGACGAACUGACUUUAAAGAGCGUGUAGGAGGGUUAUCGCUCAUCGCAAGUUGAGGUCCCCGACGGAGACCCUUAAGACCCCAGGGUGCACCCUUGACCCUCGACCCCGGGGCUGGACCCACGCUGAGGGGCGAAGAGAUGUUACCAUGUCCACACUGAGCCACCCCAGGUGACGCAACGCUGGUCCUCAACUACAACCAGCGUCCUCAACGGGGCUCAUGCAACAUUCACACUGUCCUAUCAAACACACACGUGCGCACACACACACGCACGCACGCACACACACGUUAGUCGGAACUGUCAUUUUAACGCUGGUUAAAUCAAGAUUUCAAGGCGUUACGUCUUACAGUGUCUGUGGAUCAGGGCAGUGACAUUUCAGUUGCUCCCGUAAGGACUAAACCUAAUCCUCGGCUUUUGUGGCAAUAAAAAGUUUGACAUAUUAAAACCUGAACCAGAUAAACUAUUGGCUAUCAGCAAAACUGAGUGCGGUACUUGAAAUGUCACAGCUUUUACAAAACAGAUAAGCCAUGGUGGAUCAGACCCAACUGUCUCAAUACAAUCUCUUAGAUUCUGUUAAAUCUAUAGAAAGUUUCCACAUCAAGCUGGUACCUAAAUUCCGGAAACAGGAAUUAGGUAAAGUACUGAGCUCUUACUGAGCUGAUAUUGAGCUGAAUGUAUGUAGUCUCAAUGUAUGUAUUCUCCCAGAAUGCUCUGGGAUUGUUUAUAUAGCUAGAUAUAUCUGUUUGGCCUAUUGGUGACCAUUAACAAGGAAUUUAAAUAAAAAAGAUUGGACAUUGAGUUCUGCGAGUACAUGCCCUAAUCUGUAUGCCGUCAGAGGUUGACAUUCAACAUUUAUAAGAAGGAAAACUUCCAGCUGAUGAGAUGUAGUACUGCCUCCCCCACUGUGUGAAUUGUUAAAACGUUGAAGCAUGACUAGAAUAGGGGGAAGGGUCAAAACAACUGACAGGUCUCAAACCAAAUAACCCUGUGUCGGCAUAGCCUACCCUGGUCCCCAAAGCUCUAGUUGGGGGUUGGGGUAGGGACCACCAGUGCAGACCCACCCAGCGAUGGGAUUUGUCCCCUGGAUGCUGCUCAGAGUCUAUACGUCUAGCAGGAGAGGUGCACGUUAACGAUACGCUUGACAUUAUUUUCUGCAGCGCUCCCAAAGGUAUUGAUGGUCUGAUUGAAUUCUAUAAAAAGUGUGUUCUGCCAGAUGCCCCUCUGGCCCGUCGACUGUAAUAGUGUGACAUUUAGACGAUUUAAGAAUCAUAAACGACGCUUUGUUGUCCUGACAGUCGGCAAUCCGUCUUUCUGUGUGUGUGUGUGUGUGUGUGUGUGUGUGUGUGUGUUUGUGUGUGUGUGUGUGUGUGUGUGUGUGUGUGUUGUGUGUUAAUUAAUGAUUUAG